rnacentral:rRNA from 1 species
CCUACGGGUGGCAGCAGUGAGGGAUAUUGGUCAAUGGAGGAAACCCUGAACCAGCAACGCCGCGUGCGGGAAGACGGUUUUCGGAGUGUAAACCUCUAUCCUCUGUGAAGUGAAUGACGGUAGCAGAAGAGGAAGCUCCGGCUAACUCGGUGACAGCAGCCGCGGUAAGACGGAGGGAGCAAGCGUUAUCCGGAUUUACUGGGUGUAAAGGGGGAGUAGGCGGCUUUGCAAGUCAGAAGUGAAAUCCCUGGGCUUAACCCAGGAACCGCUGUUGAAACUGCAUAGCUUGAGUGGAGUGGAGGUAGGCGGAAUUCCCGGGGUAGCGGUGAAAUGCGUAGAGAUCAGAAGGAACACCGGUGGCGAAGGCGGCCUACUGGGCUAUAACUGACGUUGAGGCACGAAAGCGUGGGGAGCAAACAGGAUUAGAUACCCGUGUAGUC